AACGGCUCAGUAACACGUAGAUAAUUUGCCCCUAGGUGGAGGAUACCCUCGGGAAACUGAGAAUAAUACUCCAUAGAUCUAGACCGCUGGAAUGCUUUUAGAUUGAAAGAUUUAUCGCCUAAGGAUAAGUCUGCGGACUAUCAGGUUGUAGUCAGGGUAACUACCUGACUAGCCUACGACGGAUACGGGUAGUGAGAGCUUUAGCCCGGAGAUGAUAUCUGAGACACGAUAUCAGGCCCUACGGGGCGCAGCAGGCGCGAAAACUUCGCACUGUGCGAAAGCACGACGAGGGAAUCCCAAGUGCUGGCUCGUAAGAGUCAGCUGUUUCUCUGUCUAAAAAACAGAGAGAGUAAGGGCUGGGUAAGACGGGUGCCAGCCGCCGCGGUAAUACCUGCAGCUCAAGUGGUGGCCGCUAUUAUUGGGCCUAAAACGUCCGUAGCCGGUUCUAUAAAUGCCUGGGUAAAUCGUACGGCUUAACCGUACGAAUUCCGGGUAGACUGUUUAACUUGGGACCGGGAGAGGCUAGAGGUACUCCUGGGGUAGAGGUGAAAUUCUGUAAUCCUAGGGGGACCACCAGUGGCGAAGGCGUCUAGCUAGAACGGGUCUGACGGUGAGGGACGAAGCCCUGGGGAGCAAACGGGAUUAGAUACCCCGGUAGUCCAGGGUGUAAACGCUGCUCGCUUGAUGUUAGUCGGGCUCCGAGCCCAACUAGUGUCGGAGAGAAGUUGUUAAGCGA
rnacentral:rRNA from 1 species